rnacentral:tRNA from 1 species
GAGCAUGUAUGCAAAUGGUAAGCGUCACGCCUGCAAAGCGUGUGACUAACAUGGGUUCGACUCCCAUCAUGCUCU